rnacentral:rRNA from 1 species
UGCGCAGGCGGUUAUUUAAGACAGAUGUGAAAUCCCCGGGCUCAACCUGGGAACUGCGUUUGUGACUGAAUAGCUAGAGUGCGGCAGAGGGGGGUAGAAUUCCACGUGUAGCAGUGAAAUGCGUAGAGAUGUGGAGGAAUACCGAUGGCGAAGGCAGCCCCCUGGGUCAGCACUGACGCUCAUGCACGAAAGCGUGGGGAGCAAACAGGAUUAGAUACCCUGGUAGUCCACGCCCUAAACGAUGUCAACUAGGUGUUGGGGAAGGAGACUUUCUUAGUACCGCAGCUAACGCGUGAAGUUGACCGCCUGGGGAGUACGGUCGCAAGAUUAAA